GUGUCCGCCAUCUUGGGGCGACGGCCAGAAGUCCAGGGCUAGGAGCCUCAGCCGGCGGACGCCAGGAAACAGCCAAGAACUGAACCAAAAUACAAACAACAUAAACUACCACUUGAUGAGAAGAACUUCAAAGUCAAAUUGCAAAAGGUGACUAAAAAAGGGGAGUACUUUCAGCCGUUUUCAAAAUAAUCUAUGAUAUGUACUGGAAAACUUCUAAUAAUCCUUGUCAUUUUACAACUUUCCCACAGUUAGAUCAUCAGCAAAUGUCACUUGGAUCCCUAGCUAAAUUGUUCUUCCCAGAAAAUAGUUAUCUCCACUAUGGAAAGUAUUUUAUCAGAAGAAUUCGUAGAAGUAGAAUCUGUUUGUCUUCAGUUAAACAAAAGAAGAACCUCAUUGCUUUCCAACUGGGCCCCGGCCAUUUUCCAGUUGAAACAUCAAAUAUUUUAUUUGUGUCUUUCACUGCCAAUUAAAGGGCAACAGAAAUGGUACAGGUACCACAGUUUGUUUAUCCAUUCAUCUGUGGAAGGACAUCUUGGUUACUUGUAGUUUAUGGUGAUUAAAAGUAAUGAUACUAUAAA
rnacentral:lncRNA from 1 species